UGCGGACAGUGUCUGGUGGGUAGUUUGACUGGGGCGGUCUCCUCCUAAAGAGUAACGGAGGAGCACGAAGGUCAGCUAAUCCUGGUCGGACAUCAGGAGGUUAGUGCAAUGGCAUAAGCUGGCUUGACUGCGAGCGUGACGGCGCGAGCAGGUGCGAAAGCAGGUCAUAGUGAUCCGGUGGUUCUGAAUGGAAGGGCCAUCGCUCAACGGAUAAAAGGUACUCCGGGGAUAACAGGCUGAUACCGCCCAAGAGUUCAUAUCGACGGCGGUGUUUGGCACCUCGAUGUCGGCUCAUCACAUCCUGGGGCUGAAGUAGGUCCCAAGGGUAUGGCUGUUCGCCAUUUAAAGUGGUACGCGAGCUGGGUUUAGAACGUCGUGAGACAGUUCGGUCCCUAUCUGCCGUGGGCGCUGGAGAAUUGAGGGGGGCUGCUCCUAGUACGAGAGGACCGGAGUGGACGCAUCACUGGUGUUCGGGUUGUCAUGCCAAUGGCAUUGCCCGGUAGCUAAAUGCGGAAGAGAUAAGUGCUGAAAGCAUCUAAGCACGAAACUUGCCCCGAGAUGAGUUCUCCCUGACUCCUUGAG
rnacentral:rRNA from 1 species